rnacentral:rRNA from 1 species
GGGGAGUACAUUAGCAAGAAUGAAACUCAAAAGAAUUGGCCGGGGACCCGCACAAGCGGUGGAGCAUGUGGUUUAAUUUGAUGCAAAGUGAAGAACCUUACCAAGGCUUGACAUGCCCCGAAUCCUCUUCAAAGAGAGGGGUACCUUCGGGAAUGCAGACACAGGUGCUGCAUGGCUGUCGUCAGCUCGUGUUGUAAGGUGUUGGGUUAAGUCCCACAACGAGCACGACCCUCGUGUUUAGUUGCCACCAUUGUGUUUGGAACCCUGAAUAGACUGCCGGUGAUAAGCCGGAGGAAGGUGAGGAUGACGUCAAGUCAUCAUGUGCCUUAUGCCCUGGGCGACACAUGUGCUAUAAUGGCCAGGACAAAGGUCGCGAUCCUGCGAGGGUGAGCUAAUUCCAAAAACUCGUCCUCAGUUCGGAUUGCAGGUUGUAACUCUCCUGCAUGAAGCUAGAAUCGUUAGUAAUAGCCGGUCAGCCAUACAGUGGUGAAUUCACUCCCGGGCCUUGUACACACCGCCCCAUCACACUAUGGGAGCUGGCCAUGCUUGAAGUCGUUACCUUAACUGUAAGGAGGGGGAUGCCGAAGGUGGGGCUAGUGACUGGAUUGAAGUCGUAACAAGGUAGCUGUACUGGAACAUGUG